UACAGAGACUGCAAGCGUUAUUCGGAUUCACUGGGCGUAAAGGGUGCGCAGGCGGUUGGGUGUGUCAGAUGUGAAAUCCCGAGGCUUAACCUCGGAACUGCGUCUGAAACUACUCGACUAGAGUACUGGAGAGGGAAACGGAAUUCACGGUGUAGCAGUGAAAAUGCGUAGAUAUCGUAAGGAACACCUGUGGCGAAAGCGGCUUACUGGGUCUUUUCUGACGCUGAUGCACGAAAGCCAGGGGAGCAAACGGG
rnacentral:rRNA from 1 species